CAUCGUUUUUUGAUAAAAUAAUUUAAGAUCUGACCUGCCCAAUGAAAUUUAAAUGGCCGCGGUAAUUUGACCGUGCAAAGGUAGCAUAAUCAUUAGUUUCUUAAUUAGAAGCUGGAAUGAAUGGUUGGACGAGAAAGAUUCUGUCUCUUUAUAAUUAUAUAGAAUUUUAUUUUUAAGUUAAAAAGCUUAAAUUUUUUUGAAAGACGAGAAGACCCUAUAGAGUUUAAUUAAUGGUAGAUUAAUUUUUUAAUAGGAAUUUAUUAAUAUUAUUUUUUUAUUAAUUUGGUUGGGGUGAUUGAAAGAUAAAUAAAACUCUUUUUUUAUUUAAUUUAUUAAUAUAUAUUUAUAUGAUCCAAUUUUUUUGAUUAUAAGAAUAAAUUACCUUAGGGAUAACAGCGUAAUUUUUAUGGAGAGUUCUUAUCGAUAUAAGAGUUUGCGACCUCGAUGUUGGAUUAAAAUUUAUUUUAGGCGGAGAAGCUUUGAAAUUAAGUCUGUUCGACUUUUAAAAUUUUACAUGAUCUGAGU
rnacentral:rRNA from 1 species